GCCUUCGUGGUGUAAUGGUCAGCCCACUUGGUGUGUAUCGAGAUGUCCGAGGUUCGAGUCCCGGCAAAGGCA
rnacentral:tRNA from 1 species